UACGUAGGGGGCAAGCGUUGUCCGGAAUCAUUGGGCGUAAAGCGCGCGUAGGCGGCCCGGUAAGUCCGCUCUGAAAGUCCAGGGCUCAACCCUGGAAAGCGGGUGGAUACUGCCGGGCUAGAAUCCGGAAGAGGCGAGUGGAAUUCCUGGUGUAGCGGUGAAAUGCGCAGAUAUCAGGAAGAACACCCGUGGCGAAGGCGGUUCUCUGGGACGGUACUGACGCUGAGACGCGAAAGCGUGGGGAGCGAACAGG
rnacentral:rRNA from 1 species